rnacentral:rRNA from 1 species
UCUCACGUCUCACAUCUCAUACCGCCCGUUCCCAUCCCGAACACGGCAGUUAAGCUCUUCAGCGCCGAUGGUACUUGGGACGCUGGUCCCUGGGAGAGUAGGACGCCGCUAGAA